GGGGGAUUAGCUCAGCUGGUUAGAGCAUCUGCUUCACACGCAGGGGGUCGGUGGUUCGAGUCCACUAUCUCCCACCA
rnacentral:tRNA from 1 species